UUUUACAGUCCGUGCUGUGCAUGUAGUAGCAACAAAUACAAAGGCAACGAGUCUCACGGACCGGUGUGUAAGACUGUCAUCCAUUCCUGCGGAUAAUAGCUAGAAGGAAGCGCCCGGGAAGGUCAGCCAACAAUCCCGCCGUAGGUGCCAAAGUGAAAUCUACAGGACUACAAUUACUUGGACAGACUGAGGCGGCAGAGCAAAGUGAAUGACAGUAACUGAUUGGUAUGGUGUGGUGUUGACAUCGGACUUCUCUGUCAGCGUCAGCAACACGUGAUCUCCGCCCUUCCCGACACCCGCAGCCUCUGACCU